rnacentral:rRNA from 1 species
GAUCCUGGCUCAGGAUGAACGCUAGCUACAGGCUUAACACAUGCAAGUCGAGGGGCAGCGGGAAGAAAGCUUGCUUCUUUGCCGGCGACCGGCGCACGGGUGAGUAACGCGUAUCCAACCUUCCCCUUAGUAGGGCAUAGCCCGUAGAAAUGCGGAUUAAUACCCUAUGUUGUUCGAUGCGGACAUCUAAGUUGAACCAAAGGUUUACCGCUAAGGGAUGGGGAUGCGUCCGAUUAGGCAGCAGGCGGGGUAACGGCCCACCUGGCCGACGAUCGGUAGGGGUUCUGAGAGGAAGGUCCCCCACAUUGGAACUGAGACACGGUCCAAACUCCUACGGGAGGCAGCAGUGAGGAAUAUUGGUCAAUGGGCGAGAGCCUGAACCAGCCAAGUAGCGUGCCAGGACGACGGCCCUAUGGGUUGUAAACUGCUUUUAUGCGGGGAUAAAGUGCGGCACGUGUGCCGUUUUGUAGGUACCGCAUGAAUAAGGACCGGCUAAUUCCGUGCCAGCAGCCGC